rnacentral:misc_RNA from 1 species
AACGCACAUUGCGCCCGCUGGAACUCCGGCGGGCAUGCCUGUCCGAGCGUCAUUUCAACCCUCAGGUCCCCCUUCCGGGGGCGGACCUGGUGUUGGGGCCCGGCCGUCUCACGGCGGCCGACCCCUAAAUGCAGUGGCGGUCUCGCCGCAAUCCCUUGCGUAGUAAUUACACCUCGCACCGGAGAGCGACGCGGCCACGCCGUUAAACCCCCAAUUUUCAAUGGUUGACCUCGGAUCAGGUAGGAAUACCCGCUGAACUUAA